GGGAGCGUUCCCGGCCGGAACGUAAACACACCCUAGCAGGCAUAAGCAGCGGCAAGGCAUCCGGGACCCUCGCCUCUCCCAGCCCAGGACUCAGGCGGGAUGGGGCCGCCAAGCGCGGAGCUCAGCCAGAGGCUACAAGCUCACACUCGCGAGCAGGAGGCAGCCUGCACGUGAUGGACAAAAUUCCCGUCCAAAGACCAAAGCACCUUUGAGCAUUAUCUGCAGUAUUCCGCCAUUUGCACACAUACCGCAGCUGAGGAAGCACUGAACAACCAGAAACAGCUGUUCGUAUAUCUUCCUCCUGUCAACUCGCUCACAGUCCCCUCAAGUCACUCGCUCCCAGUCCUUCUCAGAGAGGAGACCAGAGGUCUUCACAGAGGACCCUCGAGGGGACAGAGGGACAGUGUCUGCAAACAAGAAACUGAGGGCUCCUGCUUCCCAGGAGGAUGGAAUGAGAGCCGCCAUUGAAUCUGGAGCUCCAUCAACCAUUGUCUUAACCAGUGAAGACCAUGCUGAGGGACGGCCAAGAACAUGGCUGGGUGGUGAAUGAGGAGGAGGCACGGUACAGGUAUAGACAGCAUUCAAGGGGAGGCCUUGUUGCCUGGAGGCCAGAGGUCAGUGGUCAGGACCUGGGCUGGUGUCUUCCUGGUCAAGUGGGGUGUUGCUUUUGGUCCAAGUCCGUUUGUAGUGGACAGAAACUGGAGAGUCUGGACAGCCUCCAGAUCAGGUCUCUGAGUGCUCUCCUGGGUGAUCUGGCAUGGGAUGUGUCUUAGUUUAUUUGGGGGCUUUAGGCGCGUCUGGACGGGCAUCUGGUCAGAUCUCUUGCCGGAUGCCUCGAGGCUGAGCUUAAGAGUCCUGGCCCCGUAUACAUGCAGCAGGAUGUGAGUUCAGUGUUGAGGGCAUAUUAUGACACUUGAUUUGUGUCUGUUGGGUUAGGACUGGCUCAGGCUAUGUGGUUUAGAGGCAGCCAGGGGAACGUCACGGGAGCAAACUUGAGGCCUGUUGUGUGUCAGCAUGAUGAUGAGGGCAAGAUCCUGGCCAAAGUGCUUGGAUGCUGGCAGAAGGGCAUCGGUGACAGCCACUUCCUGUCUUAUUUUUUUGUCCCUGAAGUGAGGUGAAGCUCAGUUCAGGUUUUUUGAUGGGAGACCCUGUAGGGCGCAUGGGUCUCAUACCAGGUUUCUUUCCCGGCAGCUGACUUGUGAGAAUAGGGCCCAGGGUAGAUGUCUUCUUGGUUGCGUAGACAAGCACAGGCCUGUUUGGAUGCUGUGGGAGAAGACCCCACACGUACACACAAACGUGUAUGUACCUAUGUAUGUGUGUACGUAUGUGUGUACACACACACAGUCGACCCUUGAACAACACAGGUUUGAAUUGCAUGGGACCACUUACCUGUGGCUUUUUUUCAAUACAGUAAAACGUUAUAAAUGUAUUUUCCUUAUAUUUUCUCAAUAUCAAUUUCUUUUCUCUAGCUUACUUCGUUGUAAAAAUACAGUGUGUAACACACAUACCCUACAGAUACGUGAUCACUGACCGAUUAUGUUAUCGGGAAGGCUUCCAGGCAACACUAGGCUAUUAGUGGCUCAGUUCUGGGGAAGUCAAAAGUUCUACUCGGAUUUCCAACUGGUGGUCUAUGUGUUAAUUAGCUUGACUGUGGGAAUCCAUCAGAGUAUAUAUGUAUGUAUAUCAAAGAAUCAUGUUGUAGAUAGAUUUUAACAUGAUAUGGGGGAACUUGGCCAGGGUGUGCCCUUUCACUGCGCAUUUACGUGGGGAUCCUGGGCUUGUGGCCUGGGAAGAAGCGGUGCUCCAUGAGAGGGACCCUGCAGAGAAGUGGGCUGGUUAUGGGCAGAAUGUGUCCUGGUCUUGUCCAUGUCUGUAGGCUCUGUAGAGAAUAUCUGGACUACCUCGUAUCAGUAGUCUGGUUUACUCUCCAUUUCUGUUCCUUAGCACGUUUGCUACCGGUUUAUGAGUAUUAUUAUUAACCAUACCAACUUCCCCCUUGUUUAUUUUUAUAUUGUCUCUUUCUGUGUCAUUAUUUUAUCCUCUUUAUUAUUUUCUUCCUUCUGUAUUAUUCCAGCGUUUGUAUUUUUUUUUUUCUUACUUCCUCAGAAGGAAACCAACAUGACGGAUCUGAGUCUUGCCUGUAUUCAGCCGUGUCCAUGUCAGUCUCUAAAUGGACGCCUGAGCACUGAUUUAGUUGAGUCCUAUGUCUUCCCUCUUGUCUCCUCAAAUCCUGUGCUGUCGGCCGUGUGUGCCCUCCGGGGCCUCCACCCCAUGUGCCCGCAGCCCACAUCUGUUCUCCAGGAUCGCCACGCCAUGUCCUCCUCUGUGUAUUUACAACCCGUGUGCCGGUGACCCAUGUCUGUCGUCGUGUUUUUCUAAUCCCUCUGCCAGCAGUUCUUGACAGUCUCAAAAGUCUGCGUUCCCUGUGCCUGCACCCUCUGCCAGCCCACGUGAUGCUUCAUCCCUUUUCACAGUCCCAUCAUGGAACUCAUUUCACCGUCUCUUCAUCCCCACGGCCCAGGACAGUUCAUGUGUUUCUCCUGGCAGGAGCUGAGCUGACCUUGGGGAGAGACAUCUGAGUUGCCAGGUGUCAGAGUAGCAGACAAAGCAUCAAGUCAAAAAUGAAAGAGUUAAGCCUAUAAUGACUUAUUGUGGUGGCACAAGCAAGAGCCUUAGCCGCAGAAGUUCUGACUCCCCCACCCCCCACCCCGUUCUAUUCCUCAUCACCUGGGAUGUUGUACAGAUCACGGAUCGGGUGAACACAAAUGUGGGCUUGGUCUCACUGUUGAGGAAACCCCAAACAAAAGGUGGGGCAUUUUCACAGACCCUUGGGCUGGAGGGAGAGUGACAAGUGCUAGGGGCAGGAAAGCACUGGGCACUGUGUCAGAGUUGGACAAGCGUUUUCAGGGUUUUCCCGUCUUCUCCCCCGGGGAGGGGAUCUCAGCAGAAUCAACUGGAGAGGAGCUCAUCCCCAGACGCAGGUGAAGAGAAGCAUGUGUGUUGUAGGAGAUGUUGUCCUUCCCUGAGGUUUCUUAUGCUGAGAUCCAAGCACUUGCCAAGCACCAGAUUCCUGAGUGGCACCAUCAUUUAGUUAUGAAUGGAGAAAUGGGAUCACACAAAGAACUUUCGGAGAAUUGGUCCACAGUGACCACCCGCCAUCUGCCCCACCUCCUUGGAGGUUCACGUCAGCCUUCCCUCGGAUACGGAUUUCUGGAUUUCCUGAGUCUAAUGAAAAAGGAGAGUCAUUCACACAGACACGGGACUCCUUCAUGUGCCUUCUUCUCCCAGGAGGCGUGAGGGGGAGUCAUAACCACCAGGUCAAACAGAGUCCUCACCCUGUGUGACCUCUCCUUCCUGCCUGUCCUGCACACUCUCCCGAGGACCCAACCCCAGGAGGGCACCCUCAGGCAAGGCAAGUGAGGUGGUCUUGAUCGACUCAUUGGGGAGACUUCCAUGAAGCCUGUCACAAUGUACUCCGGAAGCAAAGUCACACAAAGUCCUAACCCCGACGGACACCAGAAUCGAUGCUAUGGCAACACCCUCUGUGGCACACAGAGUUGCAUGUGGAAAAGGAAGUAUGCUUGUCUCUCAAAAAUAUGAAUUUCUGGGGUGCCUGAGUGGCUCGGUCAGUUAAGCGUCCGACUUCGACUCAGGUCAUGAUCUCGAGGUUUGUGAGUUUGAGCCCCGUGUAGGG